rnacentral:rRNA from 1 species
CCUGGCGGCAAUAGCAUUAGGGUACCACCUGAAUCCAUUUCGAACUCAGAAGUGAAACCUAAUAGCGGCGAUGGUAGUGUGGGAGUUCCCAUGUGAGAGUAGCACACUGCCAGGC